rnacentral:rRNA from 1 species
GAUGAACGCUAGCGAUAAGCUUAACACAUGCAAGUCGAGGGGCAGCAUAUUCGAAGCUUGCUUUGAAUGAUGGCGACCGGCGCACGGGUGCGUAACGCGUAUGUAACCUGCCUGUCAGAAGGGGAUAACCCGGUGAAAGUCGGACUAAUACCCUAUAUGCUCACGAGAGGCGCCUGCCUUGGUGAGGAAAGAUGGCCUCUGAAUAUGCUAUCGCAAAGGAUGGACCCGCGUCUGAUUAGCUAGUUGGUGAGGUAACGGCUCACCAAGGCGACGAUCAGUAGCCGGCCUGAGAGGGUGAACGGCCACAUUGGGACUGAGACACGGCCCAA